GUAUUUUAUAUAUACAUAUAUAAUAUAUAUACACAUACCAUAACUUCUUUAUCCAAUCAUCUGUUGAUGGACAUUUAGGUUGCUUCCAUGUCUUGACUAUUGUAAAUAAUGUCUAGAGCUCUCUUAAACUGAUUGUUACCCAGAACUCAUCAGAAGCUUUGAGGAGAAGAUCGUCAUUAACGGCACUUAUGAGGAUGCCCACUUAUUCCUACAGGUGUGGAAGUUGUUAGCUUAUAUCAAGUUGCACUGCUGGAGAGCUAAGAAAUGAGGUGUCAGUUGCUUGGCUCUCUCUUUGAUGGCAUGUGUUCUAGUGUUACCACCUUGGCAUUGAUCAAAGAUGACUGCAAGAACAAUCACAUCAAGAUUGUUUCUAUAUUUUCUAAAAAAGGGGGGGGUGUUAUUAAGGACACUUUCAGAUGUGUUGUUCUAUACUCUCUGGAAAAGAAUGAACAUAUUUUAGAAUUGUUACCAGAAAAAUGCAUUUUUAUUCAAAGAAUUGGUAUAUAUAGUUUUAAAAUCACUAAUAAUCAUAUCACUUUUCCUUUUUGCCUUGACUGCCACAAAACCCAGAAAUAAAUGUAAAAUAAGGCUCAAUCUUAGUACAUAGGUUUAAAUUGGGGGCGUAUUUGCUUUUUCCAUUAAAAUUUUUUCUAAAUCUAGCAAUGAUAUUUUCUAUAAAUCUUUUACUGUAAGUGAACUGAGAUCGUUUUUUUUUGAAACUUUGGGAGGAUAAAUAAUGAAUACAUUUGUAAAACACUUCCUUUGUUUUGAGUCCUUGGGGGCUAUGCUUCUUUGUUAUUAGUAAAUACCCAGUUCCUGCUAUGGACAACUGUGGUCCAGAGUUCUACAGAAACCAAGAGGUGCAUGAAAUGACUGCAGGCCUGAAGGGUCUUGAAUCUAGUUGUGGGGCUGGAAUAUCACAGAGAUAAAUAACAUCCGGUAGCAUAUUCUAAAGUGAUUUCGUCAUCUACAAAACAGAAAUAGACUCACAGACAUAGUGAACAACCUUAUGGUUACUGGGGAAAGGGGGUGGGAAGGGAUAAAUUUGGGAGUUUGAGAUUUGCAAAUGUUAGCCACUAUAUAUAAAAAUAGAUUAAAAAACAAGUUUCUUCAAAAAAAUAAAGUGAUUUUGAAGACCCAUUGUAUCCUAAGACCCUAUAAGUCUAUUAAAUUAGUAAUAUGAACAUUUGGUCAAAGUGUAUUCUAUUUUAAGUUGGCUUAAAAAUUGAUAUUUUGACUAACAUUUUUCUGAAUGCAGUAAAGUUUUUGGUUAACUUUGUCUCGAAAUAAGUUUUCAUAAAAGCAGUUUGUGUUCAUGGUAGAAAUUUGGAAAAUCAGAGAAGUAUAAAGGAGCAAAUUAAAAUCAUCCAUAAUCAUGCCUUGGGUUCACAUUGUAUAACAUAACACAAUAUAUAUAAUUCAGUGUCCUACUUUUUUCACUUAACAUUAUAUAAUAAGAAUUUCUAGAUACUAGAUAUUUUUUAAUAACAAGAUUUCUAUUGUGAAACUUUUCAUUGAAUGAUUUGCUCAAUCAUUACCCUAUUGUUGAUUUACAUUGUUUCCAACCUCGUUUUCUCUAGUAAAUAUAAUACUGUGAUUUACAUAAAUGGUAAUAGGGAUUAUAGCAUUUAGGAAGUCCUAACUAUAAUACAUGCCAAGUACUGUGCUAAGUACUUCACAUAAAUGAUCUUAUUUAAUCUCUUAAUAAUCCCGUGAAGAACUAUAGUCCCUUGUUUACAGAUGAUGUAAACAAGGAUUACAGGUCAAUUAAAAUGCCCACAGCAAUAAAGAGAAUUUAAUCCUUAAUUUGACAUAAGCAAAUAUUCUGACUUGUUUUUUAUUAAUAAUAGAACUGUUCAAAGAUUUCAAUUGCCUAUUAAAAUGUACAAUUAUUAGUUCCAAGUUAAAAAAAUCUAUGAGAUUCUUUUCCAUUCCCUUCCUUCUUCUUUAUAUUUUCUUUUAAAAAUGUCUCUAAUGAAUAUUUAGUGUUUUUUUAACUUUAGUCAUUGUUACUGUACUAUGAUGAAAUAAUGUUAUAUCCUCUUUAUAGUCCUUAUUUUUUGUUAAGAUAUAAUUAACAUAAUAUUAUGUACAUGAUUCAGUAUUUUUAUAUACUGUGAAAUGAUCCCCGCAAUAGGUGUAAUUAACAUCCCUCACCACACAUAGUUAAGUUUUUUUUCCUUGUGACGAGAACUUUUAUAGUCCUUAUUUUGUAGUCUACAGAAAAUACUAGGAAUAUAGGCUCCAGAAACAAGCCUUUCAUUUUUAUUAGAGGGCAACAGAACCACUGUAAUUAAGAGGGGAAAAAAAGGCGGUGAAAAUUCUGAAUUUUACCGUAGUUGGACAUGUGCAAUGUUCACAUUCUCAAAUACCUGAAAAAAAAUGGAACUGAAUUGAACUAGCCAGCUGACUAGCUAGCUGAGGCUCUGCGCCACCCCUACUGUUUUAAUGACUAGAUAAAGAUGAUUUGCAAUCAGCACAAGGAUUCUAAAGUGCUUAAUGGUGGUUAAAAUGAUUUCAUUUCUUAAGUAGUUCAAACUGUGGCUCAAUACACCCUUUUAAAAUAGCGCCAAACCAGGUCUGAACUUGCACAGUCUCAAUUAGAGAAUUCAUAAUUAAACGAAACUUUAGAGUGCUUAAUGAUUCAAAAAAUAGACCAAAUGGUGUUUAACCCGGAGAGAUUUAAUUUGUGAACAUCCUGGAACUAAAGUCUAUUUACCUGGGCACCCCCCUCUCCCCAAACCUUAGGUGUUACAAAUGAAGAAUUCAAGGCUUGAGAAGUGAGAGAAUCAAGGAGCCAAACAGGUGCUUUCUUCAGAGCCUAACCAAAAGCUUCCAGGAGGAAAUGCCCUCUGCUCUUCUAGACAAGAAAUCUCCGGCUGCCCCCCAUUCCACACGGCCAGCGGGUCUCAGUCCAUCAGGGGAUCCGGGAGCCGCCAUCUGUAGCGUGUUCCAGCCCCAGCUCAGCCCGUGGUCUCAGCAGCGUUGGGCGCCCUCGCUUUCCGCCACCAGCAGCAGCACGAGCAGCAGCAGGACGAAGAACAGCAGGAGCAGGAGGAACGGCGGCAUCGCGCGCGCUGGCAGGUGCCGGGGACCCCGGGGAUGGCAAGAGGGCUGGAGGGCGGCUGGGCGGGAGGCGAGAGGAGGGCGCAGCGAGGGCUGGGCGGCUACGCCGGCGUUGCCAGGAUGCGGGCCGCGCGCGUCCCUAGCAGCCGCCCGCUCACGUCAAAGUUUGUUUAAUAAUCGCCCGGGUAUUUAUGGCGGGGGCUGGGGGCGGCCCCGGGGGAGCCCGGAGACCGCGCGGGGCAGCGGAUGAGGCGUGGCGGCUGUGGCCCAGGGCACCUCCCCCCGGCUUCCCGAACCCUGCCCCGUCCGACCCCAGGGGGAGGAUGGAAACACCAGCGGCGCUCUGAGCCCCUCAGGAAGAUAACACCUUUCCCGCCACAUCGCCCCGCGGUCCUGCGGAGGCCCCCCCUUUGUCCCCUCCACGAGUCCAUCUCCCAGAGCCGGGCGGAGCGGAAAAGCGGAGCGAUGGCGGAUAACCUGAGGAAACUGGUCUCCAACGAAUCUUUACGAUCCCUGCAGGACAAGCUGGAAUGCUGGCUGAGGGAGUACAACACGAACUCAUGUGAUCAAAAUCUAAAUCACUGCCUCGAACUCAUUGAGCAAGUUGCCAAAGUGCAGGGACAACUCUUUGGGAUCCUCACCACAACAGCCCAAGAAGGAGGACAUUAUGAUGGUGUGGAAACAAUCAAAUCACGCCUUUUGCCUUGGCUGGAGGCCUCCUUUACUGCCGCUUCCCUGGGAAAACCUGUCGACAGCAAGGUCCCCUCUCUACAGGACACGUUUGAUAAGGAGAGACACAAAGAGUCUGGUUUUCGGGAUCGGGACUUACAACAAUUAGACUCUGACUUGAACUCAACUCGUAGUCAACUCAACCAGGUUCAAGACGAUCUGGCUGAAACUGAAAAGACUCUUGAAGAAACCAAGAACAGAUCGGCCAUAUCCCUUUUGGCUGCAGAGGAGGAAAUAAAUCAGCUAAGAAAGCAGCUUAAAUCUCUUCAAGCCCAGGAGGACUCCCGCCACAGACACUCAGAGCAUAGGAGCUCAGGGAAACGGGGCUCCGAGCGUAAGAGAGUGGAGCUGCGGGACUCGGAGCCGAUGGGCGCCGACAGACGGAAUGUAGACCAGCGCAACGCAGAAACGAUAAACAAUUAUGAGAAACAGCUCCGAACGCUGAAGGACGAGAUAGCUGUUCUGUCUGCUGAAAAAUCUAUACUCCAAGGAAGGUCCGCCAGGAGCCGGUCUCCUAGCCCUGCCCCUCGCAGCCGCAGCCAGAGCCGCGGCCGCAGCCAGAUCCACAGCCGCAGCCACAGCCACAGCCGCAGCCGCAGCCGCAGUCGGUCCGCCAGCCCCUCCACCGCAGUCGCGAAGGUCAGGAGCCCGUCCCCAAAUCGCGCCAAACUGUCCAACGUGGCGCGCAAGGCUGCCCUGCUGUCCCGCUUCAGCGAUGCCUAUUCCCAGGCCCGCCUGGAUGCGCAGUGCCUGCUGCGGCGCUGCAUCGACAAAGCCGAGACGGUGCAGCGGAUCAUCUACAUCGCCACCGUGGAGGCAUUUCAUGUAGCUAAAAUGGCAUUCAGACAUUUCAAGAUCCGGGUGAGGAAAUCAUUAACACCGUCUUAUGUGGGGUCGAAUGACUUUGAGGAUGCCGUCUUGGAUUAUAUCAUUUGUCAUCUUGAUCUGUAUGAUUCCCAAAGCAGUGUUAAUGAUGUGAUCCGAGCCAUGAAUGUCAAUCCCAAGAUUUCCUUCCCUCCUGAAGUUGACUUUUGCCUUCUCAGUAACUUCAUCCAGGAGAUAUGUUGCAUUGCCUUUGCAAUGCAGACUUUAGAGCCACCCCUAGAUAUUGCCUUUGGGGCUGAUGGAGAAAUUUUUAAUGAUUGCAAGUACCGCCGCAGCUACGACUCUGAUUUCACGGCUCCCUUGGUCUUCUACCACGUGUGGCCUGCUCUCAUGGAGAAUGACUGUGUCAUUAUGAAGGGAGAAGCUGUCACCAGGAGAGGGGCUUUUGUACGGUGGCCUUGCAUAGUGACAAUUCAUCCCAAGUGUUUGAUUCACAAUGGAAUUCAGUGCGAUCUGUAAGUCGAUGUCGAAGCAGGAGUUUAAGUCCCAUCUGCCCCCGUAGCCGUAUUGGUUUAAGCACGAUAUCUCGAAGCCGGAGUCCUUCUCCAAUAAGAUGUGGAUUACCAAGGUUUUAAAACCACCAGCCAUGCUCCUCCGCCACAGAACACCUGCAGCCGCCAACUGCCCCAGUGCCCCACCGCCCGCUGUCUGCCUCAGACCUCACUUAAGAUAAUGUGAAAGGGCAAUGCUGUGUAUCACUUUGCACAGACAGUUAAAUGUUUUGGCUUAGCACAUCUGUAAUUUCAGAUAUACUGCAUUUUAUUUUAUAGAUACAGAUUCCAUUAAUUUGAUAAAAAACGAUUGCAUAGGUGUUUAGGAUCAUAUUCAUUCGAAGCAAAGCCCAUCCCACGGGCUCAGGAGUCAGCCUGAACUACGAGGCUCUUUGAUGGCAGCCGCACGAACUAAAGUGGAAAGUCUUUACCGUGCUGAGUCCAGAAGACCCAAGGAGUCAUUUCAGCUUACAAACUGAUCAUAAAUAUUAUGAUUCCUGGUACUAGCUUUAACUUGAAAACAAUCUUGGAUGUUUAAACUUUCUUUUAGGGUUCAGAAGACAGCUCCAGUCUCAGGUUGGGGAACUCACAGCGACUUCAGGCUAAAUGUAGGUGAUGAUGCUUUGAGACUAUUGGCUGGCUUCUGUUUUCCUACUUUGAAGUGCCCAGUUGGUUUAGUUGAGCACUGUUGGUUGAGGCUACUUCCUUGAGAGAAUUCUCUUGCUUCUUAAAUGCAGAGCAGUGAUUUGGAUAGAAGCCGGCUUUGACAUAAUGUUAAUUACCUUGUGCUUGUCUCCUGGGAAUGUUUCAGACAGUUUUUUAAUGUACGUGUUAAAUAUAAAAGCUACCUGGGCCACAUCCUUUACCUGUUCCACCUAGCUGUUUACAAACUCAGACCUCCUCCUAAGAACUCUGUCUGACUGAAAACAAAAAUGCUUAAACUCGAGGUUAAAAGCUAGGGUCACCAUUCAUGGAUUUUAAAUUGAGUGUCUAACCUUGAUUUCUUCACUGUGAAGUACUGUUGAAAACGUUCAAGUUCAAGAUUAUAAUGGAAUGUUGCUUUCUCAGGAUAAAUAAUGCUCUUUCUACUUUUUUUCCCCCACUUUAAUACCGGCUUUAAACCCCAGCUUCACAAGUGACAGCUUUUGCUGUGUGCCUUUUACAGCUCAGUUUGUGUAAGCUCAGUGUGAGAACCAGCACCUGGGACUUGGUAGGAGAAAACAAACAGCAAAACAAACAACCAACCCGUCCACCCCCCAAAAAACCCCUUCUCUGAAGCAUCUUGUCUCUCGUGCUGGGACAUAGACACCAGGGAGAGACCUCCCCAGUCUCUGCCCCAGGUCUAAUGGUCACCAACUCAUUCCAAAUUGUUCUCCCUCUGCGCCUAUGUAGUCAUCACUUUGAGGCAGGGCAGCAGCGUGCUGGAAGGAGAACUCAGUGCCCAGGCAGCUCCAGUGCCAACUUGGUCAUCAGCUUGCUGUGUGGCCUUAGCGAAUUGCUUCACCUCUCUGAGUCUCACUCAGUUUCAUUGCAGAGUGAGGAGGGUGGCUGAGAUCAGUAGUUCUCUCAACCCUCCCAGACUCAGUGCCCUCCUUUAUAACAAAUAUUUUAUUUUGGCUAUUCUGAAAUGAAAUUCAAAGUUAAUAUGAUCUAUUGGCAUAUAUUCCUUUAAACAAUGAAUAUGGUACUCAAAUUGUAAUAUAAAGCAGAAAAAAGGGAAGGCAGUUUUUAAUAAAAUAGAAUGUAUUUUCAACAAAAAAGCUUGGCUAUAACUAUCCUAGAAGAUAAAAUUAAGUCAUCAGAUGCUUGGAUGUAGAAUUACCAGCUACAAAUGCAGAUCAGUGUGCAAUGUACUGGCAACAUCACAAACAUUGUUGUCAUGGGAUAUGAUUUCUGAAAUGGUGAAUAACCCUUGGUAAAGUUUUGAACAAAAACUUACAUUUGUGCCUUGAUCAACAUAGUAAGUGCAUUCCUGGAAAUUUUCCUGUAUAUUAAAACCAUAUGGCAGGUGUGGGUACAGCUCAGUGGUAAAGUACAUGCUUUGCAUGCAUGAAGUCCUGGGUUCAAACCCCAGGACCUCCAAUGUAAACAAACAAAAAAACCCCAAACAAUUAUUUUGUGUUAUAUGUUAAAAUGUCUUUUCUAAAGUCUCACUAAAUAAUGAGAAUGCCUACAUAUCAGACUUUUUCUGGGGGAAGUCAAAUGUGGGAACGCACCCUGACUGGGAGAAAAGUCACACUGUACUUGGUUUGUUUGCUCCGUCCCCUUGCCAUUUCUCAAGUCUCUGACUUGAACUGUAACCACACAGGGCAUGGCAGUCCAGAAAAAUCUGCAAAACCAAAGGAGGCUGACCUAUACUCAUUUCACUGGGGCAUGCAUCUUAACCUUGGUGACUUUGAAAAAUGAUAAACUCUUUCUUUGUAACCUGGUAAAUGUCAGUUUUUGUCCUAUCGGUUUAACAUCCAAUAAUAAAAUCAAGAAAAAGUG